CGACAGCAAUAUGAAGGUCAGGCUGAAGACCUUACCGGAUUAGCUGAGAGGUGGUGCAUGGCCGUCGUCAGUUCGUACUGUGAAGCAUUCCUGUUAAGUCAGGCAACGAGCGAGACCCACGUCCACAGUUGCCAGCAUACCCUCCGGGGUGAUGGGUACACUGUGGAGACCGCCGCUGCUAAAGCGGAGGAAGGAAUGGCAACGGUAGGUCAGUAUGCCCCGAAUCUCCCGGGCUACACGCGGGCUACAAUGGUUGGUACAAUGGGCAUCUACCCCGAAAGGGGAAGGAAAUCUCUUAAAGCCAAUCGUAGUUCGGAUUGAGGGCUGCAACUCGCCCUCAUGAAGCUGGAAUCCGUAGUAAUCGCGUUUCAACAGAACGCGGUGAAUACGUCCCUGCUCCUU
rnacentral:rRNA from 1 species